GUGAGCGCGAGGCGGGAGGCGGGAGCGCGGGCGGGGUCAGGGGUCACGCGGCGCCCGUUGGCUGCUUCGUCGAGAGGAAUGGCGAGUGAGGCGGCGGCGGGAGAGUGACUGAGAGAGACGGAGAGAGAGAGAGGGAGAGAGGGAGAGGCGGCCGAGUACCACCAACGGACACAUCUCACAGUACAUGCAAAUGGGAAUCUAAUGUCCUAAUUAAAGAGAAGAACUGUACUUGAAAAUUGUCUAAGAAUCAAGGCCCACGUUUGGGAGCUUGUCCUUGGAAAUCUGCC